UACGUAGGGUGCGAGCGUUGUCCGGAAUUAUUGGGCGUAAAGAGCUCGUAGGCGGUCUGUCGCGUCGAUCGUGAAAACUUGGGGCUUAACCCUGAGCUUGCGGUCGAUACGGGCAUGACUGGAGUUCGGCAGGGGAGACUGGAAUUCCUGGUGUAGCGGUGAAAUGCGCAGAUAUCAGGAGGAACACCGGUGGCGAAGGCGGGUCUCUGGGCAUUAACUGACGCUGAGGAGCGAAAGCAUGGGGAGCGAACAGG
rnacentral:rRNA from 1 species